rnacentral:lncRNA from 1 species
AAAUGAAACUGGUGAUACUGGACUAGGAGAUGCAGUGGCCAAACUUAAGGUCAGGAAAAACUGAGUUCGAAUCCUGCUUUGGUCUCUUAGGAGCUGAUACUUAAAUUUUCUGAGCCUCAGAUUCCUCAUCUAUAAAAUGAGGGGGUUGGACUUAGCAGUGUCUAUCAUCCCUUCUGGCUCUAAAUCUAUGAUGCUCUAAGUGUGGCUGUUCUAGGAUUGCUGCCUUACUUCUGUAUCCUUAAUCCCAAGCAAGUUAGUUCCUUCCCACCCACUCUGUGGAAUGUUCCCUGGCUCGUCCUAGGUAAGAGAGAGUUGUACAACUAACUUGUGCAUUCAGGUGGAGCCUUCUUGCAAAUUUAAAGGAUUUAGCUCUUGUGCUAUUUUAGGUCUGGUCCACAACCGAUCACUUCACAGUAUUGUGAUUUAUACAUGGGACCCUGUGCCUGAAUUUUAA